rnacentral:rRNA from 1 species
GAUGAACGCUGGCGGCGUGCCUAAUACAUGCAAGUCGAGCGAACAGACGAGGAGCUUGCUCCUCUGACGUUAGCGGCGGACGGGUGAGUAACACGUGGAUAACCUACCUAUAAGACUGGGAUAACUUCGGGAAACCGGAGCUAAUGCCGGAUAAUAUAUUGAACCGCAUGGUUCAAUAGUGAAAGACGGUUUUGCUGUCACUUAUAGAUGGAUCCGCGCCGCAUUAGCUAGUUGGUAAGGUAACGGCUUACCAAGGCAACGAUGCGUAGCCGACCUGAGAGGGUGAUCGGCCACACUGGAACUGAGACACGGUCCAGACUCCUACGGGAGGCAGCAGUGGGGAAUCUUCCGCAAUGGGCGAAAGCUUGACGGAGCAACGCCGCGUGAGUGAUGAAGGUCUUCGGAUCGUAAAACUCUGUUAUUAGGGAAGAACAAAUGUGUAAGUAACUAUGCACGUCUUGACGGUACCUAAUCAGAAAGCCACGGCUAACUACGUG